rnacentral:rRNA from 1 species
UACGUAGGGUGCAAGCGUUGUCCGGAAUUAUUGGGCGUAAAGAGCUUGUAGGCGGUUUGUCGCGUCUGCUGUGAAAUUUCGGGGCUCAACCCCGAACUUGCAGUGGGUACGGGCAGACUAGAGUGUGGUAGGGGAGACUGGAAUUCCCGGUGUAGCGGUGAAAUGCGCAGAUAUCGGGAAGAACACCCGUGGCGAAGGCGGCUCUCUGGGACGGUACUGACGCUGAGACGCGAAAGCGUGGGGAGCGAACAGG